ACUCACAUAAAAUGUGCAAAGUUUCUAUUAAAUAAUUGAAGAAAUGAAUUUUCUAUAAAACUACAAGUAUUUAUGGCUAUCUGAAAAAAUACAAGAAGUUGUAUUUCAAAUGGUUUAAAUGGAAUUAAUGAGUUUUCAUACAUAUAAAAUAUGUUAAUGGUGUUGCAAUUAGUGUGAUUAUUAAUGUGAAUGCUGCAAUUCCUAAUAGGAAGUGUUGUUCUUUAAGGAUUUUUUUUUUUUCCGAUUCUUUAAGGAAUGGUCCAUUUGCUUACUGCUAAAGUUGGAUUAUUUGAUAAAAGACGAAGGAGAUACCGAGUUUUAGUAAAUUUACAUGUUCUACUAUUUGACAAAACAUUCAAUUCUAACCAAGGAGAGACCAUAAAGAAUUCUUUCAUUGGGAAAAAAAAUAGACACAUUGACAAACUAUUUUACUUUGGGGAGGUUUCUAACUAGUUAUAUAUCAUAUAUCUUGAAUACAUAGUAGAUUUGAUGUUAUGUAUAUUUUUUAAUGAAAAAUAUCUUUUAAUGAAAAAAGAGAGCGUAAAAUGGUUAGCAAAAUCAUCGAUUUCCAUUUUUUCUCCUUUUUUUCUAUGAACGUUUUAAAAAUAAAAACACCCAAACUAUAAACAUUUCCAUUUCCAUUUAUACAUCAAUCUCUAUUUCAUCCUUUAUAUACCUUUUAUGAUAUCUAAUGCCCAAAAUUUAUCCCUCCCUCUUUCCCUUUCUCAUUAUCGCGCUUCCUCUCUGCUUAGCAUUGUAGAAAGCCUAUAAAAUCCCUACUCUCACCAUUGAGAGAAAAGAAUAAAAUUUUCUUUCAACUAGAUGUCAUUUUUUCUUUACUAAUUCUACUCCAAAUCUUGAUAUGUUGAUUAGUGAUGAUGAUGAAUUUGUGGUUUUAAAUGGUAGGAGAUACGUAGAGUGUUUUAAGAUGGGUUUUUAUUUUUCUCUAAAUCCUUGCAAUGAAACUAGAUGCCAAGAUUGAGGAGCUCUGAGUAUUUGACAUUUAUGUUAGUGGAAUUAUGGAGCUUUUUGAGAUGAGUUUCUAUGGUGGGAAUUUGGUGGCCAUGGUUCACAAGAAAACCAAUAUAGCAUAAUGGUGAUGGACAAAAGGCAAGGGGAUGGCAUUUAGUAUAAAGAUCGUAUAUGUCAAAAUAAAACAGCUUAUUAAAAAUUAUAAAUCAAAAGUGAAAAUAUUUUGACGUUUUAAAAGCAAAGAGUGAUAGGCAUUACAUACUUGUAGACUCUAGAAAGGGUUGAUAUGCACAAUCUUACUUAUAAUUUUUUGAAAGGCCUAUUUCCCUAACUUGAACUCGUGAUUUAAGUUGCAAAUAGAUAGCUUUACACUAAAGUGUUAUGAUCCCACUUUGCUUAGGGACAACCCUGAUGAGAGGUUAAUAAAUUCUUAAGCAUCUUUCUUUUGCAAGUCAAUUUUAAGGGGUGAGUUCUAUCAAUCAUUGAUGGGAACCACAUAAGAAACAAGCUACCUAGGUGGAACUCACCCUUGAAAAGUCGACUUGUAAAAGGAGGUUGAGUGCUAGGGUUGACUUUGAUACUAUUGACAUGGACUAAAAUUUGGAAAGAGGAAAAACCAAAAGUGGAUGUUGAUAGAAAGAAAUUCCAUAGAGAAGUCUGCAGUUCAUUCAUUGAUUAUAGAAUUACCAAAAUCAAUUUAUUCUGUUAUUUAUUCAAUUACAACAAGAACAAAUGCAGUUGAUCAUCUGCCACCACUUACGCUAAAGCUUACAUGUAUUUGCCUUAGCUACUAAGCUAGCUCAAUAGCUACCACGGUCUUCAUCUCCCUCUUAAUGCUGAUAACAACCAACUGUAAUAACCAACUGUAAUAGCCAACUAUUGAAUAUAACGCAUAUCACAAAGGCACCUUCAAGUUUUUAAAAACAGAAAGCAUAGAAAGCACAAAAUACAUAUGGCUUAUUUGUUAAUGAAAAAUACUUUUUUAUUUUUUAUUUUUCACUUUUACUAAGAAAUGUUUCUUUUCAUUUUCUAUAAGAAGCCUAGACUACAUGUAGAAAAUUAAGUUUCAAUUUUAAAAGGGCAAAAAACUUUUCUUGGGGGUAAUUGAACAAAAAAGGCUAAAUCUUUUUGUCAAUAGGCAAUUAUAUUCAAACGUUUUGAUUUUGGACUACGUAUCCCAAACAUUAAGAUUGGAGCAAUUGUAUCCAAACCUAAAAAUCAUUUUGUGGAAAUUUGAUUGUUGUCAACAUGGAAUGAUUUUUUGAAGCUUUAUAUUGAAUUUAAAAAUGAUGGUGUAGAAGUAAUUUAAUAGCCAAGAUAAAGAAUUGCUCAAAUAUAUUAUAAGGCUUGGAUACAAUAUUUCCCAUAUUAAAGUUUGGGAUAUGUUUUGUAAAAUUAUGUUACGAACCACAUUCCUUUGGGAACAACUUUGGUGAGAGGCUAAUAAAUCUCUAAGCACCCUUUAUUUGUAAACUGGUUUUCAGAAAUGAAAUCUAUCUAACUAACUUGUUCCU
rnacentral:misc_RNA from 1 species